rnacentral:rRNA from 1 species
UACGUAGGUGGCAAGCGUUGUCCGGAAUUAUUGGGCGUAAAGCGCGUGUAGGCGGCCCGGCACGUCCGUCGCUGAAAGCCCCCGGCUCAACCGGGGAACGGGCGCGGAUACGACCGGGCUGGAGGGGGGUAGGGGGCGCCGGAACGGCCGGUGGAGCGGUGAAAUGCGUUGAGAUCGGCCGGAACGCCCGUGGCGAAAGCGGGCGCCUGGACCCCGCCUGACGCUGAGACGCGAAAGCCAGGGGAGCGAACGGG